rnacentral:lncRNA from 1 species
AACGAUCCAACUUGACAAGGUCCUGGUUCAUAAUUUUGAUGCUUGAAACUACAACGUCGGAAGUCAUUAUUUGAAUAGUUUUUAAUAAAUCGUUAGUGUUGAAUGAAUCCAUGUCUGAAUCGUGAAUGAUGUCACUUUCCUUAAAAGUAUUUCAAGCAUUCUCUUUAUAGUACAUAAUAAUACCCAGGAUAAUUAGGUCAAACAACGACCAAAAUCAGGA